rnacentral:rRNA from 1 species
GACGAACGCUGGCGGCGUGCCUAAUACAUGCAAGUCGAGCGCAGGAAAUCGACGGAACCCUUCGGGGGGAAGUCGAUGGAAUGAGCGGCGGACGGGUGAGUAACACGUAAAGAACCUGCCCUCAGGUCUGGGAUAACCACGAGAAAUCGGGGCUAAUACCGGAUGGGUCAUCGGACCGCAUGGUCCGAGGAUGAAAGGCGCUUCGGCGUCGCCUGGGGAUGGCUUUGCGGUGCAUUAGCCAGUUGGUGGGGUAAUGGCCCACCAAGGCGACGAUGCAUAGCCGACCUGAGAGGGUGAUCGGCCACACUGGGACUGAGACACGGCCCAGACUCCUACGGGAGGCAGCAGUAGGGAAUCUUCCACAAUGGACGAAGGUCUGAUGGAGCAACGCCGCGUGAACGAUGAAGGCCUUCGGGUCGUAAAGUUCUGUUGUAAGGGAAGAACAAGUGCCGCAGGCAAUGGCGGCACCUUGACGGUACCUUGCGAGAAAGCCACGGCUAACUACGUGCCAGCCGCCGCCGUAA